rnacentral:tRNA from 3 species
GGCCUGAUAGCUCAGUCGGUAGAGCAAGGGAUUGAAAAUCCCUGUGUCCCUGGUUCGAUUCCAGGUCAGGCCACCA